UCUAAGCCAUGCAAGCCCAGCCUCCCUCAAUUCACUCCAAGAAGUCUUACUUACCUGUCCUCAGCUUACCUUACCUUACCUUACCCUUCCAUGCAACCAGUCCUGUCUUCCAGGCUAGGAAGGGCCGCUGUUGACAUCACCUCCAUGGGGGGAGGGAGAAACACCAAGAAGGGGUCAGUCAGUGACGUCACUGUGUGUCUGGAGGCCAGAGGAGGUUUGUUCUCUUGCCAAGCUCUCUGCAUUCCUUGGUAGUGGCUCAAGCCAGCCCCUCCCCCGCCCCCGGGGACACCAAUCAGGAUGUGGUAAAGUCGCUCUGGGGUGCCCAGCACCUUACUGACUAGUAAAUCCAUAGAACACAUAAGAUGAAAUGUACAACCAUCACAAGUGGAUGAAUUAAUUUAUUUAUGCAUUUAGUGAGGAAUUUCUCAUUGCUUUCUAAAUGAGUGAAAGGUCCAGGCUGGCUUUGGAUGGUACCUGAUUAAUGAGAGGCAGAUUUGGAUAAAAACAUAGUAAAGGUUGCAAAUGCCUUGGAUGGUAUUCCGAGUGGAGUGGCCUGGAAGUUUACAGCAAAAAGGAAAACAAAUACAAUCUUCUCAUUUUGGACGCUUUCUGGUGGAUGUUAAGAGUUUGCCUAUAGUUUCAGUAGAUGCUGGAGUUUCUCGACACGUGUGGCCUCCCAAGGAAGAGAUGAUGGUGAGAAGAGGUUCAGCCCACCAGCCUUUCCUAUCUUUCUUCCUGUCCUUUGCUCCAGAAGACUCCCUCCUGUCUGCCCAUGGAGCUCAUCACCACACCACCUGUCACCCCGCUUCCAGGGGGCCCGAGCGGCUGUCCCUCUUGGUCUGUGUGUCCUACAAGAACCCUGCUAAAUGGAGGGGAAGGAGUGUGGAAAAAGAAAAAGUUGGC
rnacentral:lncRNA from 1 species